rnacentral:lncRNA from 1 species
GCUCUAAUUAGACUAUAAUAAUGGUAAAAAAACGUAAUCAAAUUCAAAACAACUCAAAGAAAUUUCAAACAAACAAUAAAAUUCUUAAAGAAAUAUUAGAAUGAUCACAAAUUUUACUCAAAUAUAUGUCAAUUCAACCUUAAUUUAAUUCUAGUUAAAACCCUAUUGAAUUUCACUCAACUUUAGACCAAACCUAAUUAAAUCUUAAACCCUAAUAAUUCCUAAACCCUAAGUCAAAUCCUAAACAAAUCUUAAAUUAAACCCUAUUCCAAACCCUAAACCCUAAACCAAAUCCUAAAUCAAACCCUAAACCAAACCCUAAUCCAAUCCUAAACUCUAAACCAAACCUUAAAUCAAAUCCUAACCAAAUCCUAAUCCAAACCCUAAAUCAAAUCCAAACCCUAAUCCAACCCUAAAUUCUAAUCCAAAUCCUAAAUCCUAAACCAAACCUUAAAUCAAAUCCUAACCAAACCCUAGUCCAAACUCUAAUCCAAAUCCUAAAUCAAACCCUAAUCAAACCCUAGUCCAAAUUCUAAUCCAAACCCUAAAUCAAACUCUAAUCAAAUCCUAAAUCCUAAUUCAAAUCCUAAUCCAAAUUCUAAUCCAAUCCUAAACUCUAAUCCAAAUCCUAAACCCUAAAUCAAACUUUAAAUCAAACCCUAACCAAACCUUAAUCUAAACCCUAAUCCAAACCCUAAAUC